UAAUAUAUUUAUUCAAUAAAAUAGUUUACAAAUACUAAUAAGGAUGAACAAUACAAAGUCCAAAUAAAUUUUAUUCAAAAUCAAAACUAAAGUCCUACACUCCUCAUUGAUUCCAAGCCCUAUAUGUUCUUUUAAAUCUAAAAAAAUAGAAAAGAAGGGGUUGUGCUUACAAGAUUAGUAAGUUUCUAAUAUCUUUAAGAGAUC
rnacentral:lncRNA from 1 species